UACAGAGGGUGCAAGCGUUAAUCGGAAUUACUGGGCGUAAAGGGUGUGUAGGUGGUUGUAUAAGUUAGAUGUGAAAUCCCCGGGCUCAACCUGGGAAUUGCGUUUAAAACUGUAUAGCUAGAGUAUUGUAGAGGAUAGUGGAAUUUCCAGUGUAGCGGUGAAAUGCGUAGAUAUUGGAAGGAACACCAGUGGCGAAGGCGACUAUCUGGGCAAAUACUGACACUGAGACACGAGAGCAUGGGGAGCAAACAGG
rnacentral:rRNA from 1 species